CGACGUACUAUCUUGGGGAAAACUAUAAUGAUAAACUUAUAGUUUUAGCAGAAAGUUGGGUGACUGUGUUAGAAAAUACAAAUUGGGUGUUCAAAUAAGGGUCUGGCUGAAACUAUAGGAUCGGGUAUGUUUUCGACGUACUAUCUUUGGGAAAACUAUAAAAAUACAUGUUGGGUAAUUAAGCAAUGUGAAUGAGGAAGGGAUACUAACACUAGCAAAUGAUUUGGUAUGUGGUGGAAAUCUGAUCUUGAGGGAUACAAUACUGAAAGCCAAAACAAUUCACGCAUUUAUGUACAUGUAAUCUACACUCCCAAGGGAUAAUUUACGGGGAACACAUUCUGCAACUUCCGAGUCGCCUAAUAACCUAUAAAUAUUCAUCCACACCAUUGCAUA